UAAAUAUUACAGGACACAGGAAGCAGCGUUUACCGACAACAGACGACAUUAUCUCACCUCGAGAUUCAAACAGGGAACAAAGAUGGUCUGACUGCUAAUAAAAGCUAGCAUCUAUGUGGUGAGGAGGAUCCGGGCUUCCAUCGCUGCAGGAGAGCAGCUGGAAAAGCCCAUCAUAACACCAUGUAGUGCUAUUGCUGAAAUGAGAACGGGACGUGAGUCCAGAGGAAACGCCCCGGUGGUCGCACUGAGUCCAGGACCUGAUGAAGGUGUCGGUGGAGCAGUUGGCCCGGGGACGUCCUCAGAGACAGCUGUGCAGAAGUGUGGCUCCUCCUGACGUUAAAGGUCAAGCUGGACACUGGGACUGUGGUCACCAUGAUGGAAAAAUAUAGUUUGUUAUCUUUGUGUUUCUGCAUUACAGGACAAUAACACAUUAUCGUGAAUGAUUCCAUGCAUAUACAGAACCACCAACCAUAUCCUGAUGGACAAAAAGACUAUUGUUUAACUGCUUCCCAGUGUUCAUGCUUUACUCGACAGCCAUUGUCCCGUUUAUGCCUUUUUCACAGCAGACAUUUUGAUUUUCCAUAGGAGAAAACAGGUGCAAAUAACAUGAAUGAUAACUCUUAAGGCCUUUUUUAAAAGUGAAAAACAACUUUUCAACUUCACUCCCCCUCCCCCCAGCAUGUCCAACUUGUAUUUUUAUUGCCGCCAAAGUUGCAAAGACAACAGGAUGGCUUUCCAUUUUCCCCAAACCCUUGCAGCUACCACGGUUUCCCCCCUUUUAUUGGUUUUUACACCGUUUGCCAUUUCUGCUACUGGGGAUAGUCAACACGUUCUCUGUGAGGAGGGCCUGUAUUUAUGUACUGCAGAGUGUGAAGGUCAACUCACCAACCUCUCUCCAGGGGCUGAGCGGGCCUGAUGUUUCUGCUGCUGUAUCAAUAAAUACAUAAUUCAAAAAAAAA